AUUGAACGCUGGCGGCAUGCCUUACACAUGCAAGUCGAACGGUAACAGGUCUUCGGAUGCUGUCGAGUGGCGCACGGGUGUGUAAUACAUAGGAACGUGCCCGAUCGUGGGGGAUAACGAAGCGAAAGCUUUGCUAAUACCGCAUAAGAUCUACGGAUGAAAGCAGGGGACCUCACGGCCUUGCGCGAACGGAGCGGCCGAUGGCAGAUUAGGUCGUUGGUGGGAUAAAAGCUUACCAAGCCGACGAUCUGUAGCUGGUCUGCGAGGACGACCAGCCACACUGGAACUGAAACAGGGCCAAGACUCCUACGGGAGGCAGCAGUGGGGAAUUUUGGACAAGGGGCGAAAGCCUGAGCCGGCAAUGCGGGGUGCAGGAUGAAGGCCUUCGGGUGGUAAACUGCUUUUGUACGGAACGAAAAGACUCUGGUUAAUACCUGGGGUCCAUGACGGUACCGAAAGAAUAAGCACCGGCUAACUACGU
rnacentral:rRNA from 1 species